AAAGUAGGAAGCGACCAGACACUUGGAGGAGUUUUCUGCACUGGACCCAAGUUGUGCUCACUCAGUUUUCUAAUGAAAGUGCUUGUGAGAAGCUCUGCAGAAAGAGCCACCAUUUCUCCACAGCUCAGACAUGAAGUCCACCCUCAUUUCAGUGCUGGUGAUCAUAUUCACACACACAGGUGCAAGAGCCCAGACGGUGACGCAGCCCCAGGAACACAUCUCUGUCUCUGAAGGGGCCCCCGUGCAGGUGAACUGCAACUACUCCUACUCAGGGAGUCCCUUGCUCUUCUGGUAUGUGCAGUACCCUAGAGGGGUCCUCCAGCUCCUCCUGAGCUACACCACAGGAAAAAGCGCCAAUGGCUUCACAGCUGACCUUAACAAGGGCGAGAAGUCCUUCCACCUGAAGAAAGCAUCAGCUCAAGAGGCAGACACAGCCACGUACUACUGCGCUCUCAGUGGCACAGUGACUGCCCUUGCUAAGCAAGCAGAGCGCAAACCCUUGAGUUCCAGAAACUAUGUGUCAGUUCUCUCUGUGGCCACAGUGGGGCGUUUUCCCCCUAGACAAUGGCAUUGACUUUCUCUCUCAGUAAAUCUCAUCCAGUGUUGGGUUGCCCCAGAAAGCUGUCCAAAAAUUCUCAUUACCUACCCUGCUUCAAUUAUUUAAAAAAGUAGUGUAUUCAUUCUGUUUAGCAAUA